CUGUAUUCAACACAGAAUACAAAAGUAUAUUUCAUGGAAUUUUUGCUUUCACAGGCCCUACACUGUCACAGGCGGUGGCGGAGGAGGAGGACCAGGACUCUAUGUCCAUCACCUCACUGCACCCAUUAAGCCCUACACUGGAACAGGCCACGGAGGAGGAGGAGGAUGAUGAUGAUGAUGAUGCUGCUGCAUUUAGUGACGACGAGCCAGAAUACAUUUUUG